rnacentral:rRNA from 1 species
AGAGUUUGAUCCUGGCUCAGGAUGAACGCUGGCGGCGUGCUUAACACAUGCAAGUCGAACGAAGCGCCUGACUAUGAGACUUCGGUUGAAUAGGAGGGAUGACUUAGUGGCGGACGGGUGAGUAACGCGUGGGUAACCUGCCUCAUGCAGGGGGACAACAGUUGGAAACGGCUGGUAAAACCGCAUAAAACGGCAGUUUCGCAUGAAACAACCGUCAAAUAUUUAUAGGUAUGAGAUGGGCCCGCGUCUGAUUAGGCAGUUGGUGGGGUAAUGGCCUACCAAACCUACGAUCAGUAGCCGGCCUGAGAGGGUGAACGGCCACAUUGGGACUGAGACACGGCCCAAACUCCUACGGGAGGCAGCAGUGGGGAAUAUUGGACAAUGGGGGGAACCCUGAUCCAGCGACGCCGCGUGAGUGAAGAAGUAUUUCGGUAUGUAAAGCUCUAUCAGCAGGGAAGAUGAUGACGGUACCUGACUAAGAAGCACCGGCUAAAUACGUGCCAGCAGCCGCGGUAAUACGUAUGGUGCAAGCCGUUAUCCGGAUUUACUGGGUGUAAAGGGAGCGUAGGCGGCUAUGCAAGUCAGGUGUGAAAACCCGGGGCUCAACUCCUGGACUGCACUUGAAACUGCGAAGCUCGAGUACGGGAGAGACAAGUGGAAUUCCUAGUGUAGCGGUGAAAUGCGUAGAUAUUAGGAGGAACACCGGUGGCGAAGGCGGCCUGCUGGACUGUAACUGACACUGAGGCUCGAAAGCGUGGGGAGCAAACAGGAUUAGAUACCCUGGUAGUCCACGCCGUAAACGAUGAAUAAUAGGUGUCGGGGAGCAAAGCUCCUCGGGGCGGACGCUAACGCAUUAAGUAUUCCGCGUGGGGAGUACGUGGGCAAGAAUGAGACUCAAAGGAAUUGACGGGGACCCGCACAAGCGGUGGAGCAUGGGGUUUAAUUCGAAGCAACGCGAGGAACCUUACCAAAUCUUGACAUCCCUCUGACCGGACUUUAACAGGUCCUUCUCUUCGGAGCAGAGGUGACAGGUGGUGCAGGGUUGUCGUCAGCUCGUGUCGUGAGAUGUUGGGUUAAGUCCCGCAACGAGCGCAACCCUUGUCCUUAGUAGCCAGCAGUUCGGCUGGGCACUCUAGGGAGACUGCCGGGGAUAACCCGGAGGAAGGGGGGGAUGACGUCAAAUCAUCAUGCCCCUUAUGAUUUGGGCUACACACGUGCUACAAUGGCGUAAACAAAGAGAAGCGAUCCUGCGAGGGGGAGCAAAUCUCAAAAAUAACGUCUCAGUUCGGAAAGUAGUCUGCAACUCGACUACAUGAAGCUGGAAUCGCUAGUAAUCGCGAAUCAGAAUGU